rnacentral:lncRNA from 1 species
GAGGUGAAGAUUAUUACAAAAUGAGACUAGAAAGAUGUAACAUAGUCAAAACAAAUUAACAAGCUCAGUCAUUAGCCAGGCCAUCUUCUGCCUUCGUUGUGAGAGGCCCAUCACUGGUACUCCGAGGUGUCAAGUCAUCCUCUAGUAGCCAGGGGCAGUGGUUGUCUUGCAGACCAUCCAUUCAGGACUAGGGCUAAAGUGUGAACCAGGUAUAACUUGUGGGUUCAAAGGACUCACCUAGAUAAAUGGGCAUCGGAGUCCUAGUUACUGGGUGAAGUUCAGACAGGAGUGUGCAGGCAGACCUGAAAAGAGAUUGAGGUAUGAGAGAAAUUCAUCAGAUUUAAGCAGCAGGAACAAAGCUAACGGCUGGUCAUACAGACC